rnacentral:rRNA from 1 species
CCUACGGGAGGCAGCAGUAGGGAAUAUUUCACAAUGGGCGAAAGCCUGAUGGAGCAACGCCGCGUGCAGGAUGAAGGCCCUCGGGUUGUAAACUGCUUUUAUAAGCGAGAAAUAUGAUGGUAACUUAUGAAUAAGGAUCGGCGAACAACGUGCCAGCAGCCGCGGCUAUACGUAGGAUCUGAGCAUUAUCCGGAGUAACUGGGUGUAAAGAGUUGCGUAGGUGGCAUAAUAAGAAGCUAGUGAAAUCUGGUGGCUCAACCAUUCAGACUAUUAGCUAAACUGUUAAGCUCGAGACCGUUAGGGGUAACUGGAAUGUCUAGUGUAGGAGUGAAAUGCGUAGAUAUUAGAAGGAACACCGAUAGCGUAGGCAGGUUGCUGGGACGGUUCUGACACUAAGGCACGAAAGCGUAGGGAGCAAACGGGAUUAGAUACCCGUGUAGUC